rnacentral:rRNA from 1 species
GAUGAACGCUGGCGGCGUGCCUAAUACAUGCAAGUCGAGCGAACAGACGAGGAGCUUGCUCCUCUGACGUUAGCGGCGGACGGGUGAGUAACACGUGGAUAACCUACCUAUAAGACUGGGAUAACUUCGGGAAACCGGAGCUAAUACCGGAUAAUAUAUUGAACCGCAUGGUUCAAUAGUGAAAGACGGUUUUGCUGUCACUUAUAGAUGGAUCCGCGCCGCAUUAGCUAGUUGGUAAGGUAACGGCUUACCAAGGCGACGAUGCGUAGCCGACCUGAGAGGGUGGUCGGCCCCACUGGAACUGAGACACGGUCCAGACUCCUACGGGAGGCGGCAGUAGGCAAUCUUCCGCAAUGGGCGAAAGCCUGACGAAGCAAGGCCGCGUGAGUGAUGAAGGUCUUCGGAUCGUAAAACUCUGUUAUUAGGGAAGAACAAAUGUGUAAGUAACUAUGCACGUCUUGACGGUACCUAGUCAGAAAGCCACGGCUAACUACGUG